UACGGAGGGGGCUAGCGUUGUUCGGAAUUACUGGGCGUAAAGCGCACGUAGGCGGACUGUUAAGUCGGGGGUGAAAUCCUGGGGCUCAACCUCAGAAUUGCCUCCGAUACUGGCAGUCUCGAGUGCGGGAGAGGUGAGUGGAAUUCCCAGUGUAGAGGUGAAAUUCGUAGAUAUUGGGAAGAACACCAGUGGCGAAGGCGGCUCACUGGCCCGUAACUGACGCUGAGGUGCGAAAGCUAGGGGAGCAAACAGG
rnacentral:rRNA from 1 species